rnacentral:rRNA from 1 species
UACGUAGGGGGCAAGCGUUGUCCGGAAUCAUUGGGCGUAAAGAGCGUGUAGGCGGCCCGGUAAGUCCGUUGUGAAAGUCCAGGGCUCAACCCUGGAAAGCCGAUGGAUACUGCCGGGCUAGAGUUCGGAAGAGGCGAGUGGAAUUCCUGGUGUAGCGGUGAAAUGCGCAGAUAUCAGGAAGAACACCUAUGGCGAAGGCAGCUCUCUGGGACGGUACUGACGCUGAGACGCGAAAGCGUGGGGAGCGAACAGG